UAAGGAAUAUUGCUCAAUGGGAGAAAUCCUGAAGCAGCAACGCCGCGUGGAGGAUGAAGGGUCUAUGACUUGUAAACUCCUGUAAAGAAGGAAAAAAUUCCCAUUUGAUGGGAGAUGAUGGUACUUCUGGAGUAAGCCCCGGCUAACUACGUGCCAGCAGCCGCGGUAAUACGUAGGGGGCAAGCGUUGUCUGGAUUUACUGGGUGUAAAGGGUGCUCAGGCGGAUUUGUAAGUCAGAGGUGAAAUCUUACAGCUUAACUGAGAAACUGCCUUUGAUACUGCAAGCCUAGAGUAUGGAAGAGAGUGAUGGAAUAUCUGGUGUAGCAGUGAAAUGCGUAGAUAUCAGAUAGAACACCAAUGGCGAAGGCAGUCACUUGGUCCAUUACUGACGCUAAAGCACGAAAGCGUGGGUAGCAAACA
rnacentral:rRNA from 1 species